GUAGAUAAAUAGAUACUGCUGCGACGGGAAGGCAAACGGCGUUUCCGUGUGCUCUGGUUUCUGUCAAGAUGUCCCGUUGCUCCAGAAGCGGUUUAGUCCUGCUGGCCACAUGACCUAGAAAGCUGUCAGUGGACAAACGCUGGCUUCCUCGGCCUGAAAGCGAGAUUUAGCACCGCAAACCCCUGCGUCACCUUUGACUGGACUUAACCUUCCAGGGGUCCUUUAUCUUUUACCUUACCAAUAUGGAACCUUAUUUAAAGGAAAGGUAUAAGCAACACAGGUCAAGUAACAAAUAUAAACAACUAAGGGAUGCUUAAGUAGUUCAAGAAAGGAGACUGUUCCCAUUGCUUUGCUGGAACAAGGCUUAAUUAUAUCCAGCCUGAUUUCUUUUCAACCUGGGUUUCUGGUGUUACAGGAUGAAGAGAAACUGAAGGCAGCUCUGGUGAUAGGCUGCCUCCCAAUGUCAGGAACUGCCAUGGCGAAAUAAAUAGAAGACAGUGAGGUUGCGCCAGCGCCGGAAGAGGAAAAAACUUAAAACAGAUAGCAGAGUUCCCCCCAAAAAGACCAGAGGCAAUUGUACUUCAUCCAGUAGAGCUUUACCUGCUACUGAAGGCAAAUGAGCAUAAUGGUCACAAAUCCAAUACAUUCAGGAUUGGCACAGUCCAUAAAACUCCAGUUGCAGCACUUACAGUAACUUAGAAUGUCUAAACCUUAGCACUAAGCAUACUAUGUACAGAACACCACACCAGAAGGAAGAGCGAUAGAAAGAGAAAGUAAAACCCAGCCUCCUUCUGGCCUAUAUUUAUAGUCAGCAUGACUUGAAUUGGAAGAGGUAAGAGAAACAGAUCAAGCCAUCUGUACCCUCAGCUUCUCUGAAGGUAUAACCCAAACAGUCAUGAAGCUUCUUUCAUGCAGAGAAGCUUCCAGAAACUUCCAGAAACCUUUUGAAUGAAUUAGAAUUGGAAAGAUCUCUACACAUCAGAUCAGUACUUUCUGUACUAAGAAAUGCAAACCGACAAGUUAAACAAUGAUUUGUUUUGUAUUUCAAUACACUGUUUAACAUGUUAAAAUUAAACAUAGAUUUUUGAAGAAAGCAAAUGCCAAGUUAGGAAACAGUGUUGUUUCACUACUGAAACCUCAGAGCUGCUUUGAGGGUUCUUAAGACUAUAAAUUAGCCUAUAAGAAAAAAUAUUGCUACAAAGUAUGUGUUUACAUUUAUUAAACUGAAAACAUUCAACAGAGUUUUUUGUUUUAUACAGGCGUUAUGCAAAAUUACUCGCCACUCACCUAGUGUUUUCCAGAGUGUGAUUGAAAAGGUGGGAUUACCAGCAGUGAUACAUUCACUUGCAACUGGAAUAUACAAAGUUCAACAGCACAUGAUGACUAUGUUCUCUGCUAUGUUGUCAUGUGGAAUCCAUUUGCAAAGGCUGGUUCAGGAAAAGGUUUGUUUUAAACAUUUUCUUGUGUUACAAAUAUUUUUGAUAAACUUUUUUAAUUGACUGUUACUGUGUGCUGUACUAGAUUUUAAAGACAUCUCUAUAAACCGUCUAUAAAUUUUACAGUAGCCAGUUCAUAUUUUAGUUUUAAAUAAACAGGCAUAAGUGACCUUUCCAUUAAAGUGGUCUUCAAAAAAUUAUCAUAC